rnacentral:rRNA from 1 species
AGUGAACGCUGGCGGUAGGCCUAACACAUGCAAGUCGAACGGCAGCACAGUAAGAGCUUGCUCUUACGGGUGGCGAGUGGCGGACGGGUGAGGAAUACAUCGGAAUCUACUUUUUCGUGGGGGAUAACGUAGGGAAACUUACGCUAAUACCGCAUACGACCUACGGGUGAAAGCAUGGGAUCUUCGGACCUUGCGCGAUUGAAUGAGCCGAUGUCGGAUUAGCUAGUUGGCGGGGUAAAGGCCCACCAAGGCGACGAUCCGUAGCUGGUCUGAGAGGAUGAUCAGCCACACUGGAACUGAGACACGGUCCAGACUCCUACGGGAGGCAGCAGUGGGGAAUAUUGGACAAUGGGCGCAAGCCUGAUCCAGCCAUACCGCGUGGGUGAAGAAGGCCUUCGGGUUGUAAAGCCCUUUUGUUGGGAAAGAAAAGCAGCAGGUUAAUACCCCGCUGUUCUGACGGUACCCCAAGAAUAAGCACCGGCUAACUUCGUG